rnacentral:tRNA from 1 species
UCUAAUAUGGCAGAUUAGUGCAAUGGAUUUAAACCCCAUAUAUAAAAUUAUUUUUUUUUAGAA